rnacentral:tRNA from 1 species
AAAAGUAACUAUGAGUAAAAUAAAGCUGCUAACUUUAUUUUGAGCAAUUCAAACUGUUCUACUUUUU